rnacentral:rRNA from 1 species
GAUGAACGCUGACAGAAUGCUUAACACAUGCAAGUCAUUGGCGAAGCUGCGCUUGCGCAGUCUAGCCAAGGCGGACGGGUGAGUAACGCGUAAGGAACUUGCCCUGCAGACAGGGAUAACAGACGGAAACGACUGAUAACACCUGGUAUUGUCAGCCUGGCGCAUGCCGGCCUGAUGAAAGGAGACGCUGCAGGAGAGCCUUGCGUCCUAUUAGCUAGUUGGUGGGGUAACGGCACACCAAGGCGAUGAUAGGUAGCCGGCCUGAGAGGGUGAACGGCCACAAGGGGAGUGAGAUACGGCCCUUACUCCUACGGGAGGCAGCAGUGGAGAAUAUUGGACAGUGGGGGCAACCCUGAUCCAGCAGUUCUGUGUGCACGAAGAAGGUUUUCGGAGUGUAAAGUGCUUUCAGGAGGGAAGAAGAAAGUGACGGUACCUGCAGAAGAAGCGACGGCUAAAUACGUG